GGAACGAAGAUUUGGGCUGAACAGCAUACAGGAUGCAAUUCAUUUCAUGUCAUACAUUUAAUUUGAUCUUAUUUAUUCAACUCAUAUUGAAACAGAUGCUGUCCUGUGGUGUUGCCAGAAAUACAAUGGUUGAUCACUUGUAAGUUUUAAUACAUAGAAUUUUUCUUUACAU